rnacentral:rRNA from 1 species
UUGUUUGUAGGCUCAGAUGCUGAUGACAUGGAGCACGACGAAUUGGAAGACUCAAGUCACAAUACCUAUGUCGACCAUGAUCCAUUGGACUAUGUCUACUCAAACCUCCCAGACCACACACACAUCCUGAAGCACGCCGCAAAUUGCGAUCACUGCAAGGCCAAGAAGUUUGUGUCCGAGGCCCCGGGAUUCUGCUGUCGCAGUGGGCAGAUCCAACUGAAGCAACCGGAGCCCAUCCCAGAGCUAAUGAGGCUUUGGUCUAGCAUGCAUGCGGACUCAAGGCAUUUUCGGGAGAACAUACGGUUCUUCAACGGCCACUUCUCCUUCACAACCCUC